rnacentral:rRNA from 1 species
GAGUGAACGCUGGCGGUAGGCCUAACACAUGCAAGUCGAACGGCAGCACAGUAAGAGCUUGCUCUUACGGGUGGCGAGUGGCGGACGGGUGAGGAAUACAUCGGAAUCUACUUUUUCGUGGGGGAUAACGUAGGGAAACUUACGCUAAUACCGCAUACGACCUACGGGUGAAAGCAGGGGAUCUUCGGACCUUGCGCGAUUGAAUGAGCCGAUGUCGGAUUAGCUAGUUGGCGGGGUAAAGGCCCACCAAGGCGACGAUCCGUAGCUGGUCUGAGAGGAUGAUCAGCCACACUGGAACUGAGACACGGUCCAGACUCCUACGGGAGGCAGCAGUGGGGAAUAUUGGACAAUGGGCGCAAGCCUGAUCCAGCCAUACCGCGUGGGUGAAGAAGGCCUUCGGGUUGUAAAGCCCUUUCGUUGGGAAAGAAAAGCAGCAGGUUAAUACCCCGCUGUUCUGACGGUACCCAAAGAAUAAGCACCGGCUAACUUCGUG